AUUGAACGCUGGCGGCAUGCCUUACACAUGCAAGUCGAACGGCAGCACGGGAGCUCGCGCCUGCUGGCGAGUGGCGAACGGGCGGGUGAUACAUGCGUACAUGUCCUCUCGUGGGGGGUGGCUAGGCGCAGGCCGGAGUGAUUACUCCUACGUUCUACGUACGGGAGAGGGGGGCCUUCCUUCCUCGCGUGCUCAGGUUGGUGGAUGGCUGAUUAGCUAGUUGGUGGGGUAAAGGCCUACCAAGGCGACGAUCAGUAGCUGGUCUGAGAGGACGAUCAGCCACACUGGGACUGAGACACGGCCCAGACUCCUACGGGAGGCAGCAGUGGGGAAUUUUGGACAAUGGGCGAAAGCCUGAUCCAGCAAUGCCGCGUGUGUGAAGAAGGCCUUCGGGUUGUAAAGCACUUUUGUCCGGAAAGAAAAGCUGGGGGUUAAUACGGGCUGGGCAUGACGGUACCGGAAGAAUAAGCACCGGCUAACUACGUG
rnacentral:rRNA from 1 species